rnacentral:rRNA from 1 species
UACAGAGGAUGCGAGCGUUAUCCGGAUUUAUUGGGUUUAAAGGGUGCGUAGGCGGGCUUUUAAGUCAGCGGUAAAAAUUCGGGGCUCAACCCCGUCCGGCCGUUGAAACUGCAUCCCUUGAGUGCGCGAGAAGUAUGCGGAAUGCGUGGUGUAGCGGUGAAAUGCAUAGAUAUCACGCAGAACUCCGAUUGCGAAGGCAGCAUACCGGCGCCCAACUGACGCUGAAGCACGAAAGCGUGGGUAUCGAACAGG